rnacentral:rRNA from 1 species
GCUGUAAGCUGCGAUAAGCUUCGGGGAGUUGCACGUAAACUUUGAUCCGAAGAUUUCCGAAUGAGGAAACUCACUUAGAGUAAUGUCUAAGUAUCAUUAAGUGAAUACAUAGCUUAAUGAGGGGAACUCAGGGAACUGAAACAUCUAAGUACCUGAAGGAAGA